CCUACGGGUGGCAGCAGUGGUGAAUAUUGCACAAUGGGGGAAACCCUGAUGCAGCGACGCCGCGUGCGUUAAGAAGUAUUUCGGUAUGUAACGCUCUAUCAGCAGGGAAGAAAUAGCGACCUUUGGGUCGCCAGACGGUACCUGACUAAGAAGCCCCGGCUAACUACGUGCCAGCAGCCGCGGUAAUACGUAGGGGGCAAGCGUUAUCCGGGUUUACUGGGUGUAAAGGUAGCGUAGACGGCAGCACAAGUCUGAAGUGAAAGGCCGGGGCUGAACCCCGGAACUGCUUGGGAAACUGUGCAGCUAGCGUGCAGGUGAGGUAAGUGGAAUGCCUAGUGUAGCGGUGAAAUGCGUAGAUAUUAGGAGGAACACCAGUGGCGAAGGCGGCUUACUGGACUGUAACUGACGUUGAGGCUCGAAAGCGUGGGGAGCAAACAGGAUUAGAGACCCGUGUAGUC
rnacentral:rRNA from 1 species